GUGCCAGCCGCGGCGGUAAUACGUAGGGUGCAAGCGUUAUCCGGAAUUAUUGGGCGUAAAGAGCUCGUAGGCGGUUUGUCGCGUCUGCUGUGAAAUCCCGAGGCUCAACCUCGGGCCUGCAGUGGGUACGGGCAGACUAGAGUGCGGUAGGGGAGAUUGGAAUUCCUGGUGUAGCGGUGGAAUGCGCAGAUAUCAGGAGGGACACCGAUGGCGAAGGCAGAUCUCUGGGCCGUAACUGACGCUGAGGAGCGAAAGGGUGGGGAGCAAACAGGCUUAGAUACCCUGGUAGUCCACCCCGUAAACGUUGGGAACUAGUUGUGGGUCCAUUCCACGGAUUCCGUGACGAAGCUAACGCAUUAAGUUCCCCGCCUGGGGAGUACGGCCGCAAGGCUAAAACUCAAAGGAAUUGACGGGGACCCGCACAAGCGGCGGAGCAUGCGGAUUAAUUCGAUGCAACGCGAAGAACCUUACCAAGGCUUGACAUAUACGGGAACGGCCAGAAAUGGUCAACUCUUUGGACACUCGUAUACAGGU
rnacentral:rRNA from 1 species